rnacentral:rRNA from 1 species
GACGAACGCUGGCGACGUGCUUAACACAUGCAAGUCGAACGGAAAGGCCCCUUUGGGGGUACUCGAGUGGCGAACGGGUGAGUAACACGUGAGUAACCUGCCCUUGACUUCGGGAUAACUUCAGGAAACUGGGGCUAAUACCGGAUAGGAAUCCUUGCUGCAUGGUGGGGGUUGGAAAGCUUCGGCGGUUUUGGAUGGACUCGCGGCUUAUCAGCUUGUUGGUGGGGUAGUGGCUUACCAAGGCUUUGACGGGUAGCCGGCCUGAGAGGGCGACCGGCCACAUUGGGACUGAGAUACGGCCCAGACUCCUACGGGAGGCAGCAGUGGGGAAUAUUGCACAAUGGGCGGAAGCCUGAUGCAGCAACGCCGCGUGCGGGAUGACGGCCUUCGGGUUGUAAACCGCUUUCAGCAGGGGCGAAGCUUGUGGUGACGGUACCUGCAGAAGAAGCACCGGCUAACUACGUG